rnacentral:rRNA from 1 species
AGACCGAUAGCGAACAAGUAGAGUGAUCGAAAGAUGAAAAGCACCUUGAAAAGAGGGUUAAACAGUACGUGAAAUUGUUGAAAGGGAAGCGCUUGUGACCAGACUUGGGCGCGGCGGAUCAUCCGGGGUUCUCCCCGGUGCACUUCGCCGUGUUCAGGCCAGCAUCAGUUCGGCGUCGGGGGAAAAAGGCUUCGGGAACGUGGCUCCUCCGGGAGUGUUAUAGCCCGUUGCAUAAUACCCUGCGCUGGACUGAGGACCGCGCAUCUGCAAGGAUGCUGGCGUAAUGGUCACCAACAACCCGUCUUGAAACACGGACCAAG